GCAGGUGUUGCAUGGCUGUCGUCAGCUCGUGCCGUGAGGUGUUGGGUUAAGUCCCGCAACGAGCGCAACCCCCGUCGUUAGUUACACCUCUCUAACGAGACCGCUGGGAUAAACCCAGAGGAAGGUGGGGAUGACGUCAAGUCAGCAUGGCCCUUACGUCUUGGGCUACACACACGCUACAAUGGCCGGUACAAUGGGCUGCCAAGGCGCGAGCCGGAGCUAAUCCCUCAAAACCGGCCCCAGUUCAGAUUGCAGGCUGCAACUCGCCUGCAUGAAGGCGGAGUCGCUAGUAACCGUAGGUCAGCUACACUACGGUGAAUACGUUCCCGGGCCUUGUACACACCGCCCGUCACGUCAUGGAAGCCGGCAGCACCUGAAGCCGCUGAGCCAAC
rnacentral:rRNA from 1 species